rnacentral:piRNA from 1 species
UCCUCUCACAGGGCUGGAAUGUUAAGUUC